CCUACGGGCGUCAGCAGUGAGGAAUAUUGGUCAAUGGACGAGAGUCUGAACCAGCCAAGUAGCGUGAAGGAUGACUGCCCUAUGGGUUGUAAACUUCUUUUGUCAAGGGACAAAAUCAGGCUCGAGAGCCUGACCGAGGGUACUUGAAGAAAAAGCAUCGGCUAACUCCGUGUCAGCAGCCGCGGUAAUACGGAGGAUGCGAGCGUUAUCCGGAUUUAUUGGGUUUAAAGGGUGCGUAGGCGGGCUGUUAAGUCAGCGGUAAAAGCCCGGGGCUCAACCCCGGCGAGCCGUUGAAACUGGCUGUCUUGAGAUGUCGAGAGGUAUGCGGAAUGCGCAGUGUAGCGGUGAAAUGCUUAGAUAUUGCGCAGAACUCCGAUUGCGAAGGCAGCAUACCGGCGGCGAUCUGACGCUGAGGCACGAAAGCGUGGGUAUCGAACAGGAUUAGAUACCCUUGUAGUC
rnacentral:rRNA from 1 species